UACGUAGGGUGCAAGCGUUCAUCGGAAUUGCUGGGCGUAAAGCGUGCGCAGGCUGCUUUGCAAGACAGAUGUGAAAUCCCCGGGCUCAACCUGGGAACUGCAUUUGUGACUGCAUCGCUGGAGUGCGGCAGAGGGGGAUGGAAUUCCGCGUGUAGCAGUGAAAUGCGUAGAUAUGCGGAGGAACACCGAUGGCGAAGGCAAUCCCCUGGGCCUGCACUGACGCUCAUGCACGAAAGCGUGGGGAGCAAACAGG
rnacentral:rRNA from 1 species